rnacentral:misc_RNA from 1 species
AAAAAUAAAAAUAAAAAUAGUAUAAUAUAAUGAUAAUUUUAGUUUUAAUAUUUAAUUUAUUUAUAGCAUUAAUAAUAAAUGAUAAUUGUUACAGUGGUUAGUAGUUCAAUGGUAGUAGUGGCGGUGACAGCGGUAGUUAGAUUUUGGUGGUGGCAAGAUGAGGUAACGGUGGUGAUUGUGGCCAGGUGGUGGUAGAGGUGACAGUAGCUAAGUGGUGAUAGCAGUGGUCAAGUGGUAAUAGUGUUGUGGUGGUAGUAGUGAAAGGGUAGGGGUAGGGGUGGUAGUAACAUUGGUAGCCAGUUAGUGGUGGUAAUAAUAUUGACAAGAAAUAAAAAAAAUCAAAAUAAAUAAUUGACUAUAUCCAUUUUUGUAUGUAAUGA